rnacentral:tRNA from 1 species
GCGGUUAAAUUCCGGUGAGACGGUAGAGCAACUGACUUUUAAUCAGUAGGUCCAGGGUUCGAAUCCCUGCGCG